AAAGGCUUGGAUUGUUGCAAGCCUGCCCUUGCGAAUUCUGGCAAGAAGAGUGAUUUUUCUGAGGCUGUGAAAGGCCUUGAUUGCAAGUGUGAGGCGAGGCACUCUGGCGGGAAGAUGAACUGGUUCUCGCGGUGGGUGAAUUCCUGCUCGGACGACACAAAGUCUGUUUUGGCAGCGGUGACUGUUCCACUGGUGUAUGGUGCUUGCUUGGGGGAGCCAAGAUCAAUCCCCACGCGGUCGAUGUACCCGACGUUUGACGU
rnacentral:misc_RNA from 1 species